GGGACACACCUGCCGCGAAGGUUACAGUCGGUGAAGUAGAUCGGGGACACGAACUUCUCCACCCGCUCGAAAGUGGUGCGCCAGUGCUUCAAGAAUGGCGCUGCCGCCAUGGCGAUGAGCCUUCCCUCCCCGGAAGAUCCUUGGUGCUGCCGGCUCGUUGCACCGCUUGGAACCAAAGGUUCCGGCAUCCAACCAGCUUACAGACCCGAGCAGCUUUUCUGGGAACACCACGGCUUUUGCAAGAGGCUGGCUCUGGGGAGCCUCCCAGUGAAACCCAGAAGCUGAGCCUUCGCGGUUCUCACCCUCAGCCUUGCUGUCAGACAGCUGGGUAAAUUAUUUUUAAAUACAAUGGUACUAAAUCUGAAGCCACAUAGUACUAUGGUACACAAGAAGCUAGAGCAGUUAUGCUAGCACAUCAAAGCAUAUUUCUUUAAUAAAAAAUUGACAGUAUGU
rnacentral:lncRNA from 1 species